UCACUGACAUUAGAUACCCCCGUAGUCCAGGGUGUAAACGCUGCAGACUUGGUGUUGGAGGCCCUUUGGGGGCAUUCAGUGCCGGAGAGAAGUUGUUAAGUCUGCUACUUGGGAGUACGUCCGCAAGGAUGAAACUUAAAGGAAUUGGCGGGGAGCACCGCAACGGGAGGAGCGUGCGGUUUAAUUGGAUUCAACACCGUAAAACUCACCAGGGAAGACUGUUACAUGAAGGCCGAGAUGAAGACUCUGCUAGAUUUUCAG
rnacentral:rRNA from 1 species